rnacentral:tRNA from 1 species
CCCCUCGUCGUUCAACGGAUAGGACAGCGGGUUUCUACCCCGCCAAUGUGGGUUCGAUUCCUGCCGAGGGGA